GACUCCGGCCAUCCACCCUGAACAUGCCCAGUUUCCUCUGAUCUUGGAAGCUAAGCAGGAUCGGGCCUGGUUAGUACUUGGAUGGGAGGAUCGUAUCACCGGGGAUGGGGACUCGUGGGAGCUCCUUGGGGACAGAGGUG
rfam:Sus scrofa isolate TJ Tabasco breed Duroc chromosome 4, whole genome shotgun sequence.